UACGUAGGGGGCGAGCGUUGUCCGGAUUCAUUGGGCGUAAAGAGCUCGUAGGCGGUUCGGUAAGUCAGGUGUGAAAUCUCCACGCUCAACGUGGAGGGACCACCUGAUACUGCCGUGACUCGAGUCCGGUAGGGGAGUAUGGAAUUCCCGGUGUAGCGGUGAAAUGCGCAGAUAUCGGGAGGAACACCAGUGGCGAAGGCGGUACUCUGGGCCGGAACUGACGCUGAGGAGCGAAAGCGUGGGUAGCAAACAGG
rnacentral:rRNA from 1 species